AGGCGCGCGAUACAGGGUGACAGCCCCGUACACAAAAAUGCACAUACUGUGAGCUCGAUGAGUAGGGCGGGACACGUGGUAUCCUGUCUGAAUAUGGGGGGACCAUCCUCCAAGGCUAAAUACUCCUGACUGACCGAUAGUGAACCAGUACCGUGAGGGAAAGGCGAAAAGAACCCCGGCGAGGGGAGUGAAAAAGAACCUGAAACCGUGUACGUACAAGCAGUGGGAGCCUCUUUUAUGGGGUGACUGCGUACCUUUUGUAUAAUGGGUCAGCGACUUAUAUUCUGUAGCAAGGUUAACCGAAUAGGGGAGCCGAAGGGAAACCGAGUCUUAACUGGGCGUUAAGUUGCAGGGUAUAGACCCGAAACCCGGUGAUCUAGCCAUGGGCAGGUUGAAGGUUGGGUAACACUAACUGGAGGACCGAACCGACUAAUGUUGAAAAAUUAGCGGAUGACUUGUGGCUGGGGGUGAAAGGCCAAUCAAACCGGGAGAUAGCUGGUUCUCCCCGAAAGCUAUUUAGGUAGCGCCUCGUGAAUUCAUCUCCGGGGGUAGAGCACUGUUUCGGCAAGGGGGUCAUCCCGACUUACCAACCCGAUGCAAACUGCGAAUACCGGAGAAUGUUAUCACGGGAGACACACGGCGGGUGCUAACGUCCGUCGUGAAGAGGGAAACAACCCAGACCGCCAGCUAAGGUCCCAAAGUCAUGGUUAAGUGGGAAACGAUGUGGGAAGGCCCAGACAGCCAGGAUGUUGGCUUAGAAGCAGCCAUCAUUUAAAGAAAGCGUAAUAGCUCACUGGUCGAGUCGGCCUGCGCGGAAGAUGUAACGGGGCUAAACCAUG
rnacentral:rRNA from 1 species